rnacentral:snRNA from 1 species
UUUGACGAUUCUUCAACUAAUUC